CACGCGGGUAGGGCUGAGGGGCUCGCCCUCCCUCAUAACCCGAAACGGGCGAAAUGCGGGGGCCAGUAACCCGCUACCGGGCGGAACCAACCCUAAGUACUACCGUAGGGGGCGAUGAAACUCCGCCCCAUGGGGUUGGCGGUGGCGGAUCACCCGCUGGAGGGCGGGUUGAUACCGCCUUUACCGGGGGAACCUGGCUAGGCCCGGAAGGGAGCAACCUAACCCCGGACGCCAACGUUCAUGGGUUUACGGGGUUGAGAUCCUCUACGGUGGGUAACUUAGGGUUGGUUCCGCUUAGGCAGCGGGAGCCGCGUG
rnacentral:SRP_RNA from 1 species